GUGCUCACUUCUGCAGCACAUAUACUAAAAUUUAACAAUACAGAGAAGAUUAGCAUGGUCCCUGGGCAAGGAUGACAUGCAAAUUUGUGAAGCUUUCCAUAUUUUU
ensembl:snRNA U6 U6 spliceosomal RNA